UUUCGUUACCGUGUUUUAUCCAGCCUCACUCAACAGUAUUAGGAAACAUUGUUUCUCAUCAGUCUGAGCUCUUAAAUGAACAUUGGAAAUAAAACAAAUUCUAAAUGUAUCCUAACCUAAAUACUUUUGUUUUCUCUGGUUUAAGAACUUAUCACAUUAUAGCAUCUUAUUGUAUUAGACUCUUCAAGAACACAAACUUUUCCAUUACAUAACAACGAACUGGUUUAUUAAAUAGUGGACUUUGUCAAAAUGGAAUUUACCACUUCCACUAAUACAUGUAGACACUGCCUAAUUUAACAGGGGAAUGUUUCCAGGUACGUUAGAAGUCAACAACAUUAAACAGCUCUUCAGGCCCAGAGAUUGUUCAGGUGGUCCCCUGUCAUCACAACAUGGCACAUUCUCAAGCUGAAGAUUGAGAAGACCCUCGGAUAAGGAGGAUAACUGCAAAUAUUUUUAGGGGAUUUGAGAAGAGGGUACUUAGGACAUAUGGACCUGAGGAUGAAGUGACAAGAGGCUGAAGAAAAUUGCAUAAUGAGAGAAUAUAUAGCAUCAAAUGAGAUGGAAAGUUGAAAGAUCAUGAAUGGUAACUGGGAAAGAAUUGGCAAGAGGUGGUCAUGACCAUUUUUCAAGACACAAUCAUGGUAUUCACCUGGAGAUCCUGAACAAAUCCAUUAGAUAUGUCAUUACAGUAACUUUCUGGAUAAAAGUAUAAUGUUUUUUUUUUUACACCAAGAUACUUAGUUCAGCUCUCUUAUUCCAGAAAUUAUGUUUUAAAAAGUGACACACAGCAAAGCAACUGUUCGUGUAGAAGCCACAUACACCAAGUACUGCACCUCAGUGACAAGUAGCAGUGGAUUCGUCACCGUUACAUUCAUUCUAAUCCUUUUCUUUGAGGUCCUAGAGUGACUUGUUUGCACUAAACAUGUUUCUUACCUGCACAGCAUCAGUUGCACAUUUGUUGGCAACAUCUGCAGCCUGCGCUUUUGCAACAGAAGCAUAGUAUGUGUUUCUCCGGCCCUGAUCUGUUUCCCACGCAGCUCGCAUCCAAGCAAGACGAGAUGUCUCUAUACCAAUUGCCAUGUCAGCCAGCAUGAAUGAAACAGCCUAGUGGGCAAAAUUGUGCACAAAUAUCACACAUCCAUCAAAUAUUUGUAACUGAAUUUCUAAAUGACCUAUAAAUUACUGACUGGAAGAAGUAUGCUUUAAGAGAAUGUUAAUUUUUCAUUAAAUUAAUAAACAUAGCACUUCAGAUCUUGGAGAGCUUUGAAAUUAUUAGUGUUUUACGUCCUCUUUCCACCUGAAGACAAAGUAGAACUAACUUAUAAAUUGUUGUGGGUUUAACAUGUAGACAAUGGAUAAAGUCCAAGAAAUCCAUCUUAUACAGUCUGGAAAUAACCUAGAAGAUUUAGAUGUCAGAGUUAUCAUGUAUAAAACAUGUUUCCGGCAGUUACCAAUAUUCAAAGCAAAUAAAGAACAGCAAACAUUUUACAUGAGGAA